GGGUCGGCUGUGGCUCAGCGGUUACUUCUGGAAUUCCACUUCACUUUCAAUGAGGCUUCCCCUAACCGGGAUCGAUCCCCGCGGGCGCUAUCUGACCUUUUA
ensembl:vault_RNA Vault Vault RNA